rnacentral:lncRNA from 1 species
CAUAACGAUGAGGGUAAUGAUAGUAGAGAACUGCAGCGAGAAAGGUUUAGAGUACGCAAGUUUUGAAGGCUCCCAAUGGAUUCGGGUAACGUCACCAAAGAUUUUAGACAUGAUAGGUUUAAGUCAUGCAGGUUUUUGAGGUGACAUAUAGGUUCAAGUGAUCUCACUUUUUCGCACGAACUCAAAUUUAGUGAGUACAAAUUCUGAAGGUUGCUAACUGAGUCAAGUAUUGUCAGAGAACUGCACCUUGAAAGAUUCAAUUUUUGCAAGUUGCAUAGGCUGGUAAUUGAUUCAGGCAAUUCUUGUAUUCUGGUCUCCGAAUGGUCAAGGUAUCUUAAGAGCUUCGGUGAGCUCUCCUCCUUUGACGAGCUACUCGCUAGUUCCUCAUAUGGGUACGGCCUGCACCACAACAACAACGCAAAAUAGUAAAUUUUUUAUCUGAUGCUCGUGUAGCACGUGCUGUAUAUUGCUUACACUUUCUAAUACUGCAUGAUAUAUAAGAUACCUUAUUUCAAUUUGCAAAGAAAAAUAUCCCAGGACUCAAAUAGUGUAUCAGCAAUAUGACUGAAAAUGAUUACUCGGUAAUUAAAUACUAUAUAGCUUUCAAGUAGAAAUUUUUCGGCAUCUCAAAUCGCUACAAAUUAAGAAAAGGUUAAAAUUUCAUUAAUUAAUUAGCCUAUAUACAUGCAAGAGACCGCUUGCAAAUUUUUUUCAGGCAACAAACCAUGUUUUAGAAUAUCUUAGCUGCACUUUCACGUAGUUGAUAUUGAAAUGUGGUUUUUAAACUGUGCAACAGCAAGCUGCUAUUGUUUCAAUUGUACAAAUUAGUAAAGUUGCAAUUGCUGCAAAAUUUAUGGAAAGAUAAUUCCCUCGUGUAAUCUAUGAACCACUUGUACAAGUAAAAUAUUUUGUUGAAUAGCAAUUUAGCAUAUCUAAAUAGGAAGGAAUAAGAACAGGGUAAAACUAAACUUAAAAAUUAGAAUCAUUCGGAAAAUAAAUUAAACAAAAUCUCACAAAUACAUAAAUGGAGGGUAGAAAUCAAAAUUAAUUCCUCCAGAAGAUGAGGAUUGGAGAUUGUGACUAGUAAAUGGUUUGUACCUUAUGCUGCAGUAAGUAUGUAUUUCUAUAGAUAUGCUACCGGAGAUUUAUCUAGAGAAGAAAAUUUUCAAUUUGGUCUCUCUGUGGUUUAAUACGGUGUCACUUUACCUCCCAAUAUUUUAAAUACUUUUACUUGAAAAUUCUGUAGGGUUUUUUUUUUUCCUGUAUCAUCAUAAGAACUUGCCGUCAAGUGAAAACUAAAGUGCUGAAAUAUAUAAACUAUGGGAUAGUAAAGUGAUAUAUUUUAUAAAAUAAAAGGUGACCACCUAUAUCUAAAUAUAUUUUUUCAAAUAGCACUAUUAUGGUUUAUAAAAUAUAUUACUUUACUACCUUAUAAUUCAUAAAUUUUAGUACUUUAAUAUUUUCUGAUAGUAAGUCCUUGCGGUGAAAUAAAGACACAACAAUAAAAUAGCAAAGUGAAAUAUUUUAUAGCAAAUGAAACUGCACUGAGCCACGUCGGGGUGGGCCUAACCAAAGUUUUUCCAUAUGGAUUUAAAAAAAAAUAAUAAUAAAGAAAGAGGUUUAUAUGCUAGCUACAAUAGAAUAUUAAGGUGCUAUCCAGCUAAUUAAUUAAAGAGUAAUCAAGAGUUCCAAAUUAAUUACCUUCCAUCAACUUUGACUUCUUCGAUGUGAUCGACGCUGGUGUCGACAAAGUGUUUAUCUGCAUCGAACAACAGCGGGGAACCUUUAAUGUGUAACUUCUUAAGUGUGGUCAUCUUGUGGGCAGGCAAGUAACGGAGACUGCUGCACCCCGAGAUCUCCAAGGACUGCAGCUCGGUGAGCUCCCCGAGCCAAUCUUCAAUUCUCUCAAGAUCUUUGCAAUCCCAUAUUGUCAGCCACUGGAGGGACGUGAGACCCCGCAAGCUCUCGGGCAAACAAGUUAGCUGCCGACAUUUUUGUAUUAUUAGCUCGCGCAGCCCCGUAUCUGGUGGCGGUUGAAGUGAAACGGCGGCAUCACCACCACCAAGUGGCAUCGCGCAUUCGAGAAUUAACGAUAGAUUCUCCUUGCUUGCUUGAGAAAUGAGCAGAUACUCAACCGAUGGCGGGAGGCAAGGCUCCGGCCUCAAUUGAGGACAUUCUUUAAGCAACAAUCCACCGAGACACGGAAAAAUGGGAACUCGCUCUCGCCUGCCUUCUUCGUCAUCCACCGUCAACACAGUCACCCAUUCUCGCAGCAACGGCAUGGAGGACAACUUAAGUAUCAUCAGCACAGGGAACUUAUCUACGCCCAAAUUUGUUAUUGCGGGCAUAUCGCCUAUUUGUAGUUUUGUAAGAAAAGGAAGUUGCCCCAGCGGCGGGAGUGAGCUGCAUACGGGAAUAUUAUCAAGUCUCAUUUCAUCGAGAUUUGGGAGGCACAAACCAAUCCCAUUCAUCAUCCAGCUAGGAAACUUCCUGCCUCCAUAGCCUCGUAUAUGCAAUUCCACUAGCUUUUGAUGUGGUUGAAGAUUUUCUAGCACGGUUUCAAUCUCUUCCGCCGGUAGUACAGUACUAUCCAUGCAUUCUUCCGCGCUUAAAAUGUUCCAUUCCAACUUCAAAGACCGCAGGUUCUUCUCUAUCAAAUUUGCAGCCUUGGCAUCAACCGGACUCGUUACAUUUUCAAGACCCUUGAUCCGGAGCUCACCGACAAGCCUCAAGUGCUCUAGCUCAGAAAUGCUAGCACAAUGUUCGACGCGGUCUUGCUUGCCGAUGACAAAAACGGACAAUUCCUGCAAGCUAACUAACUUGCCGAUCCCUUGGGGCAUGCCCUUCAAUUCCGAGCAAUUGUUGUUUAGCAAGACUCUAAGUUUGGUCAGCUUUUGGAUCAUUUUAGGCAGCUCACAUAAUUUUCCACAACCACUGAUGUCGAGUUUCUCUAAAUGCUGAAGAUCACUUGACGAUGAGGGUAAUGAUUGUAGAGAACAACAUUCAGAAACGUUCAGAAUACGUAAGUUUUGAAGGCUCCCAAUGGAUUCAGGUAAUGCCACCAAAGAUUUUAGACAUGAUAGGUUUAAGUCAUGCAGGUUUUUGAGAUCACAUAACGAUGAGGGUAAUGAUUCUAGAGAAAAGCAGUUCGAAAGGUCCAGAAUGCGCAAGUUUUGAAGGCUCCCAAUGCAUUCAGGUAAUGCCACCAAAGAUUUUAGAUAAGACAGGUUUAAGUCAUGUAGGUUUUUGAGGUGACAUAAUGAUGAGGGUAACCAUUCUAGAGAAGAGCACCUAGAAAGGUUCAGAACACGCAAGUUUUGAAGGCUCCCAAUGGAUUCAGGUAAUGUCACCAAAGAAUUUAUAUCUACUAGGUCUAGGUAAUGAAGGUUUUUGAGGUGACAUAUAGGUUCAAGUGAUAUCACAUUUUCGCACGAACUCAAAUUUAGAGCGUACAAAUUCUGAAGGUUGCUAAUGGAGUCAGGUAUUGUCAGAGAUCGGCAAUUGCAUAAAUCUAAAUUCCGCAAAUUCACAAGCCUUCCUAGAGAUUUGGGUAAUGUACGGAUCUUGCGGCAGCUUGAAAGAUACAAGGUUUGCAAGUUGCAGAGGCCAGUAAUUGAUUCAGGCAAUUCUUGUAUAUUGGUCUCCGAAAGGUUAAGGUAUCUUAAGAGCUUCAACUUACUGAUUGAGCUUGGCAGCAUAGAAAUUUCGAUAAAACUUAAAUCCAACAGGCGUAAGCAUUUUGUGUCACUAUAAAAAGCCAUAAUAAAUGAACAAGAUACCGAAAAUUGAAGAGCUCGCAACCUCCGCACUACUGUGGUUGGAAUCUGCGGCAUGGAACUACUGUCUAUUGACGCAUAGCGGCAACCUUCUGGGAUCCUUGUCGACUCUUCUCCAACUAUAACAGCAACUUCUUCUCUUGCUACAGAUUGUGCGAGGUCGUGCACUAAAUCAUGCAUACGGCAGGUGGUAACCUUUCUAUAAUUUUCCUUCACGUACCUGAAGGAAAGACAUCCAUAAUAGAUCCUUAACGUACUCAUCUCCAAUAUGUUCCAUCGAAGUCCUUGUUUCAUGCGAUGAAAUGAAGCCUAAAGCAAUCCAUUGCCGGAUCAAGUCAUCCUUGCCAAUCUCAUAGCCUUUGGGAAAUAUGGAGCAGUAAACGAAGCACUGCUUCAAAGCCGACGGCAUCUGAAUGUAGCUCAAUUUUAAUGAUGGUAAAAUAGUUUUCUCUUCUUUCAGACUCCAAAUUUCGUUAUCCCUAAUAGCGGACCAUGCAUCCUCUGUCCUGCUCUUAAAGCGCAUCAUACUUCCCAAAGCAUUUGCUGCUAACGGCAGGCCGCCGCACUUCUUAACUAUCUGCUUUCCGAUUGCGACCAAACUCGGAUAGUCGUUCUCUUCCCCUUCCUUGAAUGCCCGUCUUUUGAACAAUGUCCAACAAUCAUUAUAUGAUAAGCCUUUCACACGGUGCGGUUCGACUGUUUUCAUUAUCUCAGCAACCUUUUCACUCCGCGUGGUCACUAAGACUUUGCUUCCCUUCUUGCUGUCCUUAAAUACAACGUUCAACUCCUUCCACUUAUUCUGAUCUUCGUUCCAUACAUCAUCCAGCACCAGCAAAAAUCUCUUCUGGCUAAAGAUCCUGACAAGGCAAGUGGCAACGGCAUCCGAGUUAUCAAGAGCACAAUUUUCUCCAGCUGCAGAUAUCACCGGCUUUGCAAUCGUCUUCAUGUGGAAAUCGGUAGACACGCAGACCCACACCCGUAGAUCAAAGCGCUGCUGGUCCGCAACCCGCCCGUCGUUGUAGGCCAGCUGAGCGAGCGUCGUCUUCCCCAAUCCCCCCAAUCCCACGAUCGGAAUGACCGACACGUCGUGAUCGCCCCCCGUCUCUAGCAGUAGCUUCACAAUUUUCUCUUUAUCACCAUCUCUCCCUACUAUCGUCUUUUCGUUGACGACCGAGAAUGUCUCAGGGCGUUUGAACUCAGCCUCCCGAGCAGGGCCAGCUUCGGUAAGACCGAAAUCAUUUCUUUGUUUCGCUAUCUUACCGAUCUUUUCUCUGAGCUCUUUCAUCCUGUGUGCCAUCUUGACCUUAAACUUCAGAUGCAUCGGAUUAGCGCGGGACAGAAAUCCACGUACCUUUUCAUCUUCCGUCCGGAUCUCGUCCAGCAGGUCGUCGGCGUCGUAGGCGGCGUCCUUCAGUUUGCGCAGCCAGUCGCGCAGAGCGUGGCUCUCCUUCCCAACGCUGCUCCGCUCCUCGGCGUCGAGAAGCACCGCCUGGAUCGCCGAGAAGUUGCUUCUGAGAUCAUCCGCGUCGUCCUUGAAGCUCCGCAGCAGCCCGAUUUCGUCCCCGAGAGCGGAGCCCAGCUUGCCCAGCACUCCUUUCACCAGAUCGAAUGCGAUCCCCUCCGCCAUCGCGCGCGCGUGCUGCUGCCUAAUUCUUCUCAAUACGAACGUCCUACUACAGAGAAGCAGAGGAUAAUGAAGGGUAUGCUCUCCACCACUGGAAGAUGAUUGCUCCAAUUAUUAUUGCGCUACUGCUCCAAUUAUUGUGCUGCACGCUACUCCCCCAAUCGUCUUUAUCCUAUUGUACAGAUUAUAAAAAUAUUAUCAGUUUCAAAUUGGAUCUUGUCGUUUCUGUGUCCAUUUUUUAAAAAUGGAGCGGCGGGAAUGGUGGGCCGCCCUUAUUAUUAUUAUUAUUAUUAUUAUUAUUAUUAUUAUUAUUAUUAUUAUUUUCUCAUACAACUGAAGAAAACGGAAUGAAGAUGUUUGAGAUUUCUGAAAGAUGAUUAAAUGGUAUCACUUAAGAAAUUAAAAAAGCAGUCAAAAUCAGUUUUAGUUUCGAAUAAUUUUGAAUCCGAAUUUUAAAAAGGAAUAGUGAAUCUUAAUUUGAACCCAAAAAAUUUCAAUUUUCAGAUCCGAAUCUGAUUCCAAAAUUGAUAAUAAAAUUUCAAACCAAAUCCUAAUCUUUGGCUUCACAGUCCAGUCAGAUUGAAUAAUACCAGCAUAAUUUUCACCCCAAGGCAUUAUUCUAACAUGCUAUUAUACUUGAAGAAUUGAAUUGAUAUUUAUAAAUUUUGAUUGCCCAAAAAAAAGAAAAAGAAAAAAGUAUGGAGACCACUGGAGCACUGCACCACAAGUGCACCACAGUUCAAAUCGGCUUUUUAAUUAGCAUUGGUCUUCUUAAUUGCCAUUAAAAAAUUUAUUUUCUUAAUUUACACCACUUUAUACUAUCAUUUUUUUUAAAAAAAAAUUAGACCCUGCCGGCGAAAAAUAUAGAAAAUUUUAUUAUGCCUAAUUAUCUCAAAUCUAUAUAAACUAGAUUGGCUAUUGGAAUUUUUUUUCAAAACUAUCGUUGCUAUCGUAAACGAAAAUAAAAAUUUUUUUUAUUUAUCGUCCCUAGAGCAAGUGGCAGAGAGCUUGGUCAAUGGUAUCCGAGACCCAAAUUCAAAUUCCAGUUGAUUCAUAUUUCCAGCUAAGUUUAUUUCUAAAUAAAAUAAAACGACGGGGUAACGUGCGACCUAUCUCUCUCUCUCUCAAAAAAAAAAAAAAAAAAAAAAGAGCUUAGCUUUCUUUUGUAUCUGUCGACAUUCUUAUUAUAUUAUUAGAGGCAAUGGUUCAUUUGUUUUGUAUACAUCUCAAUUGCUGCUCCACUCUUGAUUGUCUUCACAUAGGUUUAAAAAAAAAAAAAACAGAAAACGACCUUGUUAUUAAUAUAGGGGUCUAAUUAAGACAAAUAAAUAUAUAAAUGAAAAAAAAAAAAAAGUUUAGUGGAGCAAUUUCAUACGCCAGUAUAGUGCACGUGACUUUAUGCAUUUUAGCCCCCCCAAAAAAUUGUAUUAUUUUGUUGAAAACUUGAAAUGCGAACAGACGUAAGAGCUGCACAUUGUAAAGGAGAGUACAGACGACAUGGUGGCCGAGCUGGCUCUCCUCAUGUAAAAUGUAAUUAAAUAAAUGUGUGCCAGCCAUAGUUUAAUUGUAGUUGCUCCUGGCCUGAUCGCCUACAGUUGCAAAUCCUCACUGUUACAUACUUUUGCACGCGAUACAUCAUCUCUUUUUGUUACAGAUAAAUUGCAAGUUUUAGAGGACUCGCAUACAGCAUCUAGAAAUUUUUAUGAGCCGACCCAAACUACUUGUACAGCCAUGCAUUUGGCUGUUGCGUCCGGAUCUCGUCCAGCAGGUCGUCGGCGUCGUAGGCGGCGUCCUUCAGUUUGCGCAGCCAGUCGCGCAGAGCGUGGCUCUCCUUCCCAGCGCUGCUUCGCUCCUCGGCGUCGAGAAGCACCGCCUGGAUCGCUGAGAAGUUGCUUCGGAGGUCGUCCGCGUCGUCCUUGCAGCUCCGCAGCAGCCCGAUUUCGUCCCAGAGAGCGGAGCCCAGCUUGCCCAGCACUCCCGUCACCAAAUCGAAUGCGAUCCCCUCCGCCAUCGCGCGUGCGUGCUGCUGCCUAAUUCUUCUCAAUGCGAACGUCCUACUACAGAGAAGCAGAGGAUAAUAAGGAGAUGCUCUCCACCAGUGGAAGAUGAUUGCUCCAAUUAUUGUGCUGUGUCUCCAAUAAUUAUGGUGGGGGCCGGAGGAGCUUGGAGAGAACGCACGCGCCAAUGCUUUUUUUUGUUUUUUUGUUUUUUUGAAAACUCUUCAUUGGGUAUAGAAUAUACACCCCAUCUAUUUAAAAAUAAAGUGUAUUUUACUAAUCACAUCAACCUAACCAGUGAAAUACACCCCAUGGGUCAAUGAUCAAUCUUUACCCAAUUGUACAAUUUAUAAAAAUAUUUGGAUCUUCUUGCUUCCGUGUCCAUUUUCGGAUAAAGAGGCAGAAAAGCAUGCUCCCUUUGUUGGUUUCCCCUCCCCCCCCCCUCUCUCGUGCUUGGAAAGGAGGAAACGAAUAAAAACGCAAUGAAGAUGUUUGAGGAGGAGGGGGACCUCUUGUUUUUUUCUUUUUUUUUUUUGCAAGGUCCCUUAAAGGAGGACUUUUUUUUGCUCAGUCACUUGAGGUAAAUCCUGAUGCAUCAAAGAUGCAUGUUGACGGCAGCGAUGGUAAUGAAUGAAGAAAUCGAGUAGGAUGAUGACUCAAAACUUCAUGAAGGAGAAAUUUUUUUUUUUUAAGACAUCAAUGUUAUUAAUUAAUUAUCUUCUAUUUGUGAACUGAUUUUAUUUAUGAUUUUGCAACUUUACUAUUAUGCAAUUUUUCUCCAACUCUGAACAAGUGUAUGCCCAAUGAUUCUACGUCAAAAAGCAAAAAUAUUUGUCAUUUUGUCUUUGCUUCAAUUCUAAUUCCGCGUUUGUAAGUACGGAUUUCUUGAGACCAAUUUAGCUCUAUCAAAACUAUUUUGCUUGAAAUAAAUACAGCUUAUGUAAAAAUACGAUUAUUCAGAACAAAUUCAGCUGUUGUUACCAUCUUUAAAUACGAUUAUUCAGAACAAAUUCAGCUGUUGUUACCAUCUUUACCGGUCUUUGCAAGUUUAUCGGUUGCUUCGAAGCAAUUUCAAAACAAAUUCAGCGCGAAAGGGAAUAAUCUUUGUCAAAAUAGAUGCUGACCUGCAACCAAUAGCAAUCUUAAACACUAUUAUUACAAGUUUUAAGAUUGAAACGGUUUCAAUUUUUAACUUAGCUACUACAUAUGUUGGUCGACAAGAGGAGCAACUGCAGCGACAACUAAAUUUCAAAAAAAUAGUAUUAGAGAGUGUCCACAACAAGCUGUUAACUAACUCCAAAACUAAUCAGACUGGAGGAAAGAACCAUCCAAUACUAUUUCAAAAAAAUAGUUUUUUUUUUUUUUUUUUUUUGAGAGAGAAAGGUAGCACGCUACUCGCUUCAUUCAUUAAAAUGAUGAACUCAGCUACAGGGGUGAGGCAACACGGCCUCGGGGUGAGGGAGAAAAAAAAAAAAAGUUUAGGGUUUAGGAUAUUACUGUCGAUUAACGAUUACCAACAAGCCGUCGAUUAGUUGAGAAAAAAUGCUCCCAAAGAUACGUCAGCUGUUUGAUCUUGUUAACAGCAAGGAUAGGGUCUGGCUGGGAAUUCCUAAAAAUCAUGGCGUUUCUGACUUUCCAAAUUACCCACCAGCAGACUACCAACCCGGUUAACCUGGAGCUCGCCGACUGUGUUCCACUUGUCGACAUGAACCCAUCCCAAAUCGAGGUCACGUCCUCCCCCCACUCACUGGGCUGGGCAAUUUCCACGGUCGACACCAAUAGAAAUUGCGAAAAGACACAACGUGUGAAUAAGUGAUCGGCAGUUUCAUCCUCAACACCGCACAACACACAUGCUGUAUUUCCAGUCCAACCUCUUUUCAACAGGUUAUCUGCAGUAAGAGGCCUUUUCUUAAGGACAAUCCAGCAAAAUACUUUCACUUUAAGGGGGGCUCGCAUUCUCCAUAUCAUGCUUUGUCGGGCGUCCCUUAUACCCCCAUCAUUCAUCAUCGCAUAGGCCGAUUUUACCGUGAAGCUCCCGUCUGAUGACCAACGCCAAUGUACGCUAUCUGGCCUAUGCACAAGCUUGAAGAUGGAGAUCAUUUCCUUCAAAUCUAAGUAACUAGGACUCGUACCAUGUCUACCCGAGUAAUCGCCUCUACAAAUCUUGCUCCAGUCCCAACCGUCCUGUGAUAAGCAGUCACUGAUUUUUAUAUUUCUGUGAUGCGAUAAGGAGAAUACCUCAGGAAAAGACAAAUCUAACGUCUUUUCCCCACACCAACGAUCAGACCAAAACUCGAUAUUGCGCCCAUUGCCCAAAUUAUAGUAUGCUCCCCACUUAAAACAUUCGGUGUGGCUAAGCACUCCCUUCCACCAAGAAGAGCUAGGUCUAAAGGUUCUGCCCUUCUUUAGAGGUCUUCUUCUACGGUAGUAUAUAUCAUGGAUAAGUUUAUUCCACUGUAAUUGAGGCUCCGAGAGGGAUUUCCACCACCAUUUGGUUAGUAGGGCUCGGUUCAUCGUGGCAAGAUCUAAAACGUCGAGCCCUCCCUCCUUCUUACUCUUAUAAACGGUCUUCCAAGCGACCAAACAUCCCUUGCCAGAUGCAUUAUCACUUCCCUUCUAGAAAAAGUUUCUACGAAGAGCUUCAAUACGCUUAAUUACCCACUUAGGUGCCAAGAACACUGACAAAAAAUAUAAAGGUAGAUUUGUUAGGACAGCAUUCACCAAAAUAAGUCUGCCCCCUGUUAUGUACCUGACUCGGCACAACCCGUCGAGGAUGAGAUGUCGCUGAGACGUUGGACGGCGCCGAGGAUGAUGGAUCACGUAACUGCUUGACUCGGAUCAGAUUUGGACCCGAAUCGUGAUUGCUGUGAAUAAGAAGGUAAAGAAAGAAUAGAAAAAGAGGAACAGGAAGAAUGAAAAGAGGGAAAAGAAAGAGAAAGAUUAAGAGGGAUUAAGGGGAUGGAAGGGAAGAUGAGGAAGAAGAAAGUUUCAUUAAUAUUUUCCUAAUUUAUUUGAUUACACGCUGCCCUUUUAUUCUCAACAAUAGAAUAGAAACAAAACCCUAAUCCUAAUUGGACUAUCCCAAGCUCUGUUGCUUCCCGCCACUAGCGCAGCCUUUCUCUGGGCCUUUUCCUGAAGUUAUGGGCCCCCUGCGUGGGCCUCUUCAUUGGGUCACCUCCGGAUGGCUUGUCGGGUCCGCCCUUCUUCACGCCCGGAUCCAUCAGAACUGACUAGAACCUCAGAACGGUCGGCUGCCCUAGCCUCCUCGUCCGUUCGCCCCCUUCUUCCCCUCACUACCAUCGCCCUCAUCUCCACCGAUACCUCCCUCACUGCGGUCUUCCCCCAGACUCCAUGAUUGACGGUUGAAGCUUCACAACCUGAGACUUGAAGUAAAGAAAAGCUAAGCCUCCUCUCUACCCUUACUUUUAUUCUAACUAUCCUACUAUACUCUACUCCUAAUCCUCCUAUUUUACUUGGCAGGCGUGACAAUCCUCCCCACUUAAGCUGAUCCUUGCCCUCAAGGAUCAAAAGAUGGAUAUUGGCUUUUUAGGAACCAAUAAUCUUCCCACGUUGCGAGAUCCCUCGAAAGAUUUGCCCAUUUCACCAACACUUCGGUCACUGCUCGAUUCCCACGCUUCACCGUUCUCCUUUCCAAAAUCUCUUCAGGUUCGACUCUCAACUCUUCUUCGUCUCCAAUAGUGGGAGCCAUAGGUGAUGCCUGGACUGAUAAUGGCGGGCUCUUCUUUAACAGGGAAACAUGGAACACCGGAUGAACCCGCGAUCCUUCGGGUAACUGCAGUUUAUACGCGACGGUCCCAACGCGCUCCAAUAUCUUAAAAGGACCAAAAAAACGUGCUGUAAGUUUGACAUUUUUCCUUAUCGCCACGGUGGUUUGCCGAUAAGGUUGUAGCUUAAGGUAAACCCAAUCUCCCACUGCGAACUCCUUCUCUUUCCUGUGCUUGUCUGCCUGUUGCUUCAUUCUGCUUUGGGCUACUUGCAAUCGAUCCCUCAAUUCCCUAGUCAGCUUCUCCCUUUCCGUAGCCCAUUCUUUAAACUCCUGUGAGGUAGCUGUCUCCACAGCGGCCACCAGGUAGUUCGGAGGAGGUUGCCCAUAUAAUGCCUCGAAUGGAGUCAUACCCAAGGAUGAGUGGAAAUUAGUAUUAUACCACCAUUCGGCUAACGCUAACCACGAGUGCCAUUUUUUUGGAUGUUGGAAACACAAACACCUCAAGUAAGUUUCCAAACACCUAUUAACCCUUUCGGUUUGCCCGUCGGUCUCCGGGUGAUAGGCUGAGCUCAUAUGCAGUUUGGUCCCCAAGGAUUGGAAAAGCUCUCUCCAAAAUUGACUUACAAAUAUCUUGUCCCUAUCAGAAACAAUCCUCUUGGGACAUCCGUGAAGUUUAUAGAUAGUUCCCAUAAAAGCCUUAGCUACAUCCGACGCGGUAAAUGGGUGUUUGAGCGAUAUAAAAUGGGCAUAUUUUGUGAGUCUGUCAACUACUACCAUGAUAGUAUCGCAUCCUUCCGAUUUCGGUAAUGAUUCAAUGAAAUCGAUACUUACGUCUUCCCAAAUUCGGUGAGGGAUAGGCAAUGGCUGCAGUAAUCCAGCGUAGGGUGUUCCAUCUACCUUGUUUUGAGCGCAAACAGUGCACUUUUUGACCCAUUCUGCAACAUCUCUUCUCAAUCCCUGCCAAAAGAAGUGUUGUUUAACUCUCCGAUAUGUAUUCUGGAUACCUGAAUGUCCUCCCAUGGCAGAGUUAUGCAUUUGAUCCAAUAUGCUAUCUCUAAUAGAUCCGGUCUGCCCCACAUAUAGCCUUCCCUUGUGACGCAGCAACUCAUUGCCAUAAGUGUAUGGCCCUGAAGGGUUCGGCUGUAAGGUUAACUCGUAUAUUGUUUUCUCACAGUGGGGGUCUUCUUUGUAACUAGCCACCACUUCUCGCACCCAGGUUGGUACGACCGCUGAGAUAGCUAAGAUAACUCCUUCUUCUCUUCUAGAUAGUGCGUCAGCUGCUGCAUUCUCUUUACCCUUCUUAUACUGAAUUGUGUAAUUCAGUCCCAUCAUCUUAAGCAUGCCUUUCUGUUGCAUGGGUGUGGAUAUCCUUUGCUCCAAGAGGUGUUUUAGACUCUCGUGAUCUGUUUUUAUCACAAAUGUACCGGUGCCAAUAUAGUGUUUCCACUUUUGUACCGCCAUAAGUAUAGCCAGGAAUUCCUUUUCAUAGGUUGACAAUCCCAUAUGCUUACCGCCAAUGGCCUUGCUCAAGUAGGCAAUGGGUCUACCUCCUUGUGAUAAUACUGCCCCAAUCCCUGUGCCACAAGCAUCCACCUCGAUAGUAAAUGGCUCACUAAAGUUAGGCAUAGCUAGUACUGGGGCCUUUGUCAUAGACACCUUUAAUUCUUCAAAAGCUGUUUGUGCCUCUCUAUUCCAGCUGAAUUGAUCCUUUUUAAGUAAAUCAGUUAGGAGCUUACUGAUUUUACCAUAUCCCUUGAUGAAUUUCCUAUAAUAUCCGGUGAAACCUAGAAACCCACGUAGUUCCUUGACCGACUUAGGCACGGGCCAGCUAGUCAUAGCUUCAAUUUUGGACGGAUCGGUGGCCACUCCCUCUUCUGAAAUUAUAUGACCCAAAUACUCCACCCUGUUCUGUCCAAAGUAGCAUUUACUUCGCUUCGCAUAAAAUUUAUUCCUUCUCAAUUCUUCCAACGUGAUGCGCAAGUGCCUUUCAUGAUCCUUCAUGUUCUUACUGUAGAUUAGAAUGUCAUCAAAGAAAACCAGAAUAAAUUUCCUCAAAUACGGUUCAAAUGUGCAAUUCAUCACAGCUUGAAAUGUGGCAGGAGCGUUCGUAAGACCGAACGGCAUGACUAGAAACUCGUAAUGCCCUUGAUGCGUCCGAAAUGCAGUUUUAUGAAUGUCAGCAGGAUUCAUCCGAAUUUGAUGAUAGCCCGAUCUGAGGUCUAUCUUCAAAAAACACCUUGACCCGCCCAAUUCAUCUAGCAGGUCGUCUAUAAUCGGUAUUGGGAACUUGUCCUUCACCGUGCAUUUGUUAAGCUGUCGAUAAUCUAUACACAUUCUCCAACUCCCAUCCUUCUUUUUGACCAAUAGGGCGGGGGAAGCAAAGGGACUAUUACUCCGCUGAAUGAUCUCAUGGCUCAAUAAUUCUUUUAUCUGUUUUUCAAUCUCCUCCUUUUGAUCAUGUGAAUACCGAUAUGGUCGAAUGUUAACCGGUGUCGUGUUGGAUUGUAAAGGAAUCUUGUGAUCCUGGAUUCGAGGUGGGGGUAACUCCCGUGGCUCCUCGAACACAUCCUGGAACUCCUCCAGAAGCUGUUGGAUCCCUGGAGUUAGGUUGACUCCCUGUUCGGCCUCUUCUGAUAACGCUUGGUGCCUGAGGAGAUAACAUUCCCCUUUCUCGAUCUCUUGCCUCCACUGAGCUGCAGAGAUUAAGCUCAAUUUAGCUCCUUCGUCAAUCCCCUUCAACUCAAGCUUUUGUCCCUCCUUCAUGAUCACGACUGAGUUGGAUAAGAAAUCAAAAGUUACUAAUCCAUAAGAUUUGAGCCAAUCGAUUCCUAACACCACAUUCGAGCCUUCGAUUCUGAUUACUCUCAAGUCAGUUUGAAAAGAGUGUCCUUGCAUAGUCCAGGUAAAUCCGGGGCAUCUGAGCUUACUCAAAACCUUGUGCCCAUUUGCUACUGUCACCGUCAGAGGUGGCGCUGCUUCCAUCCGUGCUCCUAUUUCUUGGGCUACUUGCAGGUCGAUGAAGCUGUGCGUGCUUCCCGUGUCUACCAAGAUGGUAAGGGCCCGAUUGUUGGUCUCCCCUCGUAUCUUAAUGGUAUCCUGGGGUAUCUCUCCACACAAGGCAUGUACAGAAACUCCGAUUUCCUACCGAUCCUCGCCGCCAGGUAUAAUUUCAACUUCCUCCCCUUCUCUCCCCGCGAUUGCCCCUUCACUAUUUCCUGUUUGCAAGCAAUCUUCAUCAUAAACCUCCAUAAUGUUGUCAGUAGCUUGUAGAAUGUUCAGAGAUUUGUUUGAACACACAUGCCCCUGGUGAUACUUAUCUCCACACCGAAAACACAGCCCUGCUGCUCGACGUUGCUCCAUUAAUUGCUUGUUGAUCUGGUAAGGGUUCGCAGCAGUUUUGUUUUGAUUUUGGUUUGCCUGCUUGUUUCCCACCGAGCUCUUAAACAGUGAGUUCGAUUGAUACGAUCUCGGAGUAUAUCUACUCUUUCGAUUGAUCACUGUAAUAGCCCUUUCAUGUAACUGUGCUUGUUCGUAGGCUUCUUCUAAUGAGUUAGGAUGAGCGAUGUCAAGAAAGGGAACUAAUUCUUCCUUGAGCCCGUUAAUAAAGCAUGCAAUAAAAUACUCCUCCGAUAAGUGUGGGUUGUAAUGGAGCAACUGGAAUCUCAGUUCCUCGAACCUUUCUUGAUAUUUCUCGCAAGUCCCUGUGUGCUUCAAGUUACUGAACUCUCGAAUUAGAUAUCUCUCCCCCAUAUGUGAAAAUCUUCUACAUAUAGCUUCGGUGAACUCGUCCCAAGAAACGAGUUGUUUGUUAAUAAAAUACCCUUGUUUCCAAGUUCUUGCCUUACCGAUUAAGUGCAUGGUUGCUACACUUAGCCAUUGAUGCUGGGGUAUCUGAUACAGUUCAAAAUAUUGCUCGCAAUUUUCGAUCCAAUUUCGAGGGUCAUCACCAUCAAAGGAAGGAAAAUCCAGUUUCGGGUAAGGUAAUUGGUAAUGAUUGUGUUUGUUGACCCAUGGUGAGCUAUGAUUCUCUUCCUCUUCAAUUUGCCGCAGCGGCGUUGGUAAAAUUCCCUUGCCUUUAUCCGUUUUGAUCGCUAUUGGUGUUCUACUGCUUCCAGGGUUGCCGCAUUGUGGGAAUUUCCCUUCGAGAGGGCUUGCUGUAUCUGGGCUCUUGAGUGGAGGUGGCUUAGCUGCGAACAGCUUGAGCAGCUCCUCGUGCCUUUUGGUUGCUUCAAUCCGCAUUGCUUCGAAUUGCCUUUCCCCGGACUUCUUGACUUCGGCUAACUGUCGGUUGAGUACCUCAAUCUCGGCCUGAUGCUCAGUUCCUAGUUUCUGGAACUGCUCCUCUAAAGUACGUAUAUGAUCACUGAGAUCUCUCAACCUAGUCCCCUCAGCCAUCUCUAUCUCAUCAAGAUAUUCUUUUGGGUUAAAUCUAAACUUGUUGCCUCGUUUACCCCCAAUCUUGCUAAAAUCCGAGAAUGAUUGAAUGUAUUUCGAGCGUGAUUCGGCACAGGGUUGUUACUGUGGUGGUUUCCUUUGUCCAAACCCGAUCUCGGAUCAGAUUUGGCAGCGCGGAAAUCUUUUCGCGAUUAAACUCGACAAUACUCGAUCGGAGUUAAGAAGCAAUUUCACCACACAACGCCCUGGGGUCGUACCGCUCUGAUACCAAUUGUUACGUACCUGACUCGGCGCAACCCGUCGAGGAUGAGAUGUCGCUGAGACGUUGGACGGCGCCGAGGAUGAUGGAUCACGUAACUGCUUGACUCGGAUCAGAUUUGGACCCGAAUCGUGAUUGCUGUGAAUAAGAAGGUAAAGAAAGAAUAGAAAAAGAGGAACAGGAAGAAUGAAAAGAGGGAAAAGAAAGAGAAAGAUUAAGAGGGAUUAAGGGGAUGGAAGGGAAGAUGAGGAAGAAGAAAGUUUCAUUAAUAUUUUCCUAAUUUCUUUGAUUACACGCUGCCCUUUUAUUCUCAACAAUAGAAUAGAAACAAAACCCUAAUCCUAAUUGGACUAUCCCAAGCUCUGUUGCUUCCCGCCACUAGCGCAGCCUUUCUCUGGGCCUUCUCCUGAAGUUAUGGGCCCCCUGCGUGGGCCUCUUCAUUGGGUCACCUCCGGAUGGCUUGUCGGGUCCGCCCUUCUUCACGCCCGGAUCCAUCAGAACUGACUAGAACCUCAGAACGGUCGGCUACCCUAGCCUCCUCGUCCGUUCGCCCCCUUCUUCCCCUCACUACCAUCGCCCUCAUCUCCACCGAUACCUCCCUCACUGCGGUCUUCCCCCAGACUCCAUGAUUGACGGUUGAGGCUUCACAACCUGAGACUUGAAGUAAAGAAAAGCUAAGCCUCCUCUCUACCCUUACUUUUAUUCUAACUAUCCUACUAUACUCUACUCCUAAUCCUCCUAUUUUACUUGGCAGGCGUGACACCCCCUCUCGAAAGAAGUUUCGCCUGCCAUCCGUCGAUCUUACGAUGAAUAUUCUGGAUAACGCCCAUCCAAUCCUCCUUAGAAGGAGGGCGUGUAGCUAAGGGCAAGCCUAAAUACUUGGUCGGUAAGUUGCCAGUUUUACAUUCGAGUAUAUUCGCUAGUUUUGUCGCUUUUCCUUCGACUUUUCUGGUAUAGUACAAUUCUAUUUUUUCCCUGUUGAUUUUCAUCCCUGAAGCCCAUUCGAAGAGCUGCCACAAGAAUUUGAGAUUACCCAUAUACUUAUCUUUUGCCUCACAAAAAAAUAGUAUUAAAGAGUGUCCAAAACAAGCUGCCAACUCCAAAACUACUCUGAUUGAAGCAAAGAUCCAUCCAAUACUUAAAAUGUUUUUUUUUUAAAAAAAAACACCUAACUUGAACCAUUUAUUUGAAUCUUUUUGCGUAACGCCUAGCUUGAACCAUUCAAUUAAUUUUUCGACCAAACACCUUGCUUUUGAAGCAUACAUCCAACAACACAUUGCACUGCAUAAUGCGUCAAACCAUAACAAACUGUAAAUAUCACUAAUGAAUCCAAGCAGUACAUAAAUGCACUUGGUAGUUCAUACAUAAACAUUAAAGCCUCCUUUUUUUUGCUCCACAAUUAUAUGCAGCAUCUUUUUUUAUUUUUAUUGAGGGCCAAAAUUUUCUUUAUCUUAAUCAACCAAAUUGGGAUCUAGGUGUGGGGGAUACCCUGUUCUUCAUGACAAAGAAAGACCCCUUUUGCAGAGUUCAGGUUGUUGUUGUUGAUGUUGUUGUUGUUGUGUGUUGUAUUUUAGGGGAAUAAAAAUGUUAUGUAAUUAAUUUGAUUUCUUUAUCGUUUGAAAUUAAUUACCUAAUAUUUACAAAUUUUAAAUUAAUUUUACUCUCUAUUCUUUAACACCAUAUGAUUUUGGUUUAUGAAAAAUCGCUGCGUACACCUCGUGCAUCCAAACAGGUGUGCACCAGGGUUUUGUUCAUCCUUAAUAUUUUCUUUUUAUUUUAUUCCAGCCCUUUAAUUCAUAAGUAUAAAAAAUUUCAACUAACGGGGAGAAGUCAGAUAUGAGAAAUCUUAGAAUGAUGUGGCACCUUUUUAGUGGGCUUCUGAAUUAAAAUUUAACAGGGAGAAGUCAGAGCUAGACUGAGGGCAAAGCUGCAAGAUUAGCGAGUUUGCUUGACUGCAAAGUGGGCACCUUCCCCACCACGUACCUAGGGUUCCCCUUUUCCCCAAUGCCCCCCACAAAGGAGGCAUGGAGAGGGGUAAUACAGAAACUACAAUAUAGAAUCGAUGGAUGGCAAGCCAAACUCCUAUCAAGGGAGGGUAGACUUAUCUUGGUCAACGCAGUGUUUACCAACCUACCACUAUACUUUCUGUCAGUAUUCAAGGCACCCAGUUGGGUAAUCAAGCGUAUCGAAGCCUUACGCAGAGAUCUUUUUGGGAGUGGCGGAGGCAACUCUCCAGGCAAAGGGUGUCUAGUUGCAUGGAAGAACGUCUGUUUGUGCAAAUCGGCAGGCAGUUUGGGCAUUCUAGAUGUAGCUAUUAUGAAUCGGGCACUUCUGGUCAAGUGGUGGUGGAGAUUUUAUACAACACCCCACUUGCAGUGGAUCAAGAUUAUCCGUGCCUUAUUUUAUCAAAGAAGGAAACCCUACGGGAGGGAAAAAGCUUCAGGCUUCACUCACACUGGUGAAAAAGAGUUUUAACCACCAACGCUAUCUUCAACAGGGAAUCAAGUAUAAGCUGGGCAAUGAAAGCCCUAUUGACUUUUGGUCGGACAGAUGGUGUGGUGAUACCACACUUCAAACGUUCUUCGCAGAGAUUUACAAGUUGCUGUAAUGCAAACCAAUUCUCUUUAGUGCUUGCUUCGAAAGUCAGGACUGGGAUUGGACUAGAAUCCUCGGCAAUGAGUCGGAUUUGGAGCCUAGGCUGAGUCCCAAACUCUCGGCGCUCAAAAAUAAGGUAAGCAGCUAUAAAAUUAGGCACAGGUCGGAUUCGAUAGGGGAGAGAGAAGGAAAAACUUCAAUUUGGUCUCUCUGUGGUUUAAUACGAUUUCACUUUACCUCCCAAUAUUUUAAAUAGUUUUACUUGAAAAUCCCGUGGUUUUUUUUUUUUUUUUAUCUGUAUCAUCGAUCGUAAGAACUUGCCGUCAAGUGAAAACUAAAGUGCUAAAAUUUAUAAACUAUGGAAUAGUAAAGUGAUAUAUUUUAUAACAUAAAAGGUGACCGCCUAUAUCUGAAUAUAUUUUUUCAAAUAGCACUAUUACGAUUUAUAAAAUAUAUUAUUUUACUAUCCUAUAAUUCAUAAAUUUUAGUUCUUCAAUAUUUUUUGGUCGUAGAUCCUUACUUUAAAAUAAAGGCACAACAAUGAAAUAACAAAGUGAAAUAUUUUAUAGCAAAUGAAAAUGCACUGAGCCACGUCGGGGUGGGGCUAAACGAAGUUUUUCCAUCUGAAUUUUAAAAAAAAAAAAAAAUUAAAGAAAGAGGUUUUUAUGCUAGCUACAAUAGAAUAUUAAGGUGCUAUCCAGCUAAUUAAUUAAAGAAUAGUCAAGAGUUCCAAAUUAAUUACACACAACGACAUCUUUAAUGUGAUCGACACUGGUGUCGACAAAUUGUCCGUCUGCAUCGAACAACAGGGGGCACCCCUUAAUAUCUAACUCCUGAAGUGUGGUCAUCUUGUGGGCAGGCAAGUAACGGAGACUGCUGCACCCCCAGAUCUCCAAGGACUGCAGCUCGGUGAGCUCCCCGAGCCAAUCUUCAAUUCUCUUAAGAUCUAUGCAAAACCAUAUUGUCAGGGUGUGGAGGGACGUGAGACUCCGCAAGCUCUCGGGCAAACAAGUAAGCUGCUGACAUUGGUCUAUUCGUAGAUUCAGCAGCCCCUUAUUUGGUGGCGGUUGGAGUGAAACGGCGGCAUCGCCGCCGUCAAGUGGCGUCGCGCGUUCGAGAAUUAACGAUAGAUUCUCCUUGCUUGUUCUGGAAAUGAUCAGCUUCUCAACCGACACCGGGAGGCAAGGCUCCGGCCUCAAUUGAGGACAUUCAUAUAGACUCAAUUCAGUGAGACGUGGAAACAUAGGAACUCCCUCGGGCCUGCCUUCUUUGUCAUCCACCGUCAAUACCGUAACCCAUUCUCGCAGCAUUGGCAUGGAGAUCAAGUGAAGGCCCGUCAGAGCAGGGAACUUAUUCGCGCUUGCAGUAAUAUGGCUAUCUCCAUAAAAUUCAACGCCGAAAUUUGGUACCGCGGGCAUAUUUUUUAUAAUUAGGUCUUCAAGAAAAGGGAGUUGCCCCAGCGGCGGGAGUGAGCUGCAUCUGGGCAUAUUCACAAGUUGGAUUUGAACGAGAUUUGGGAGGCACGAGCCAAUCCUAUUCAUCAUCCAGCUAGGAAACUUCCCGCCUCCAUAGCCUUCUAUUACCAAAUUCUCUAGCUUUUGAUGUGGUUGAAGAUUUUCUAGCACGGUUUCCAUCUCUUCCGCCGGUAGUACUGUACUAUCUGUGCCUUCUUCCGCACUUAAAACGUUCCAUUCCAACUUCAAAGACCGCAGGUUCUUCUCUAUCAAAUUUGCAGCCUUGGCAUCAACCGGACUCGUUACAUUUUCGAGACCAUUGAUCUCCAGCUUGCCGACAAGCUUAAGGUGCUCUAGCUCAGAUAUGCUAGCACAAUGUUCGAUGCAGUCUUGCCUGCAGAUGACAAAAACAGACAAUUCCUGCAGGCUAACUAACUUGCCGAUCCCUCGGGGCAUGCCCUUCAAUUCCAAGCAAUUGUUGUUUAACAAGACUCUAAGUUUGGUCAGCUUUUGGAACAUUUUAGGCAGCUCACGUAAUUUUUUACAACCACUAAUGUCUAGUUUCUCUAAAUGCUGAAGAUCACUUGACGACGAGGGUAAUGAUAGUAGAGAAAAGCAUUCAGAAAGGUUCAGAAUACGCAAGUUUUGAAGGCUUCCAAUGGAUUCUGGUAAUGUCACCAAAGAAACUAGACCUGAUAGAUUUAGGAAAUACAGGUUUUUGAGGCAACUUACAGGUUCAAGUGAUAUCGCCUUUUGGCACGAUCUCAAAUUUAGUGCAUACAAAUUCUGAAGUUUGCUAAUUGAGUCAGGUAUUGUCAGAGAUCGGCAAUCGCUUAAAUCUAAAUUCCGCAAGUUCACAAGCCUUCCUAGAGCUUUGGGCAAUGUACGGAUCAUGUCGCAGCCUGAAAGAUUCAAGGUUUGCAAGUUGCAGA